UGCAAAUUUAGGUGCUCACUGCUCAGAUCACUAAUGAAGCAAUGAAUGGAUGAUUAAUUGAUUGAUUGAUGAUAAUAAUGAUGAUGCACGUUCAAUAAUCUCCCUCGUCUAUGGAGAAUGAAUUCAUCGAACUUUACCACUGGAUAUUCGAUAUCAUGGACUCAAAUUUGCAAACAUUCAUCGCUCAGAAUGCUUCUCUAUCUAAACACUUAUUCAGGAAUGGAAUACAUACAGGAUGAACCUAUGAUGAAAGCACCGUACAACGAACCAUAAGGAAUAUACACGUUCGCUAGGCAUCUUACACUUAUUCGUGAAUCAACGAAGCAUCUCUAAUUUGAAGAUCCGAAAUGAGCAAAAUGUUCUCAUUUCCUUCGCACAUGUCGACUGUAAAGUGUAAAGUGUACCGAAGCAAGCAUAUAGUAAUACGAGAGGAAUAAAAUUGCAAGUCGAUUUCACCCUAUAGGCUAUAUACAACGAACGAAAUUCUCCUGAUUCUACCAACGACCAUAUCCAGCGUAAACGUAAGCACGAGCAAGGUUACCGUAGGAUUUGACUAUACCUACGUCGAUUACAGCUGCAGCGUUUAUGCAUCGGAUGAUCGGAAGAUGGCUCGAUUAUGGGUGCGGGUACUUGAUAGUAUCCACGCGACUGAAUCGCUGUUUCAAUCAAAACACCUGCUGGAUAACAUUGUCUAUUAUACAUAAAUGUUUCCAUCGACGCCGCAGCACCGUGUUCUGCGGUCAUAUAUUUCGAUUUCUAUUGCUGGAUGAACGAACGUUGGACCGUACGAUGAUUUGAAGUUUAGACAAGUACGAUUUUGCAUAAAUGAAGGUACCGGUUACCAAGAGCUUCUUGCACCUUGCCAUUCCGGUGAUGAAUACUCUUCAAGGUACUUAUGACUGAGCAUAUCGUAGCAACAAAUGAAAUUAUCUAUACGAAGAAGGAUACAAAUCUGAAUUUCAUAUCUUCAUCUGCUAGAUCCGUCGCAUCUCCAAGUGUAUACAGUUUCGAUCAGGUUUUCCACUCGCUUAUCAGCAUCACAGUCCACAGACGAUCGGAAGAAGGCGUAUGAUGAUAAGGAAAUCUCUUCCAGGAUGCGGUGUGGUCCUUAUUUAGUUGCUCGUGUACCUACUCGUAUAAGUAUAAAUACACGUGCACGAGACACGUGCAAUUUUCAAGAGGAAAAACCACCACCAGCCACCGCGCGCACUACCAAAGGAUGUCCCGGAUGAUUUUCUGCCGGCUUAAUUCCAUAUUCCGGAACCCAGAACGUGUAAUUAUUGCAGCACGAGCGCCGUCCGACCGUGAACACUAACAUCAAAAAUGUGUAAGUUUUGUUCUUACCAUACGAUACGAUUUAGUAUACAAGAUGGUU